rnacentral:rRNA from 1 species
GAUGAACGCUGGCGGCGUGCCUAAUACAUGCAAGUCGAGCGAACGGACGAGAAGCUUGCUUCUCUGAUGUUAGCGGCGGACGGGUGAGUAACACGUGGAUAACCUACCUAUAAGACUGGGAUAACUUCGGGAAACCGGAGCUAAUACCGGAUGAUAUUUUGAACCGCAUGGUUCAAAAGUGAAAGACGGUCUUGCUGUCACUUAUAGAUGGAUCCGCGCUGCAUUAGCUAGUUGGUAAGGUAACGGCUUACCAAGGCAACGAUGCAUAGCCGACCUGAGAGGGUGAUCGGCCACACUGGAACUGAGACACGGUCCAGACUCCUACGGGAGGCAGCAGUAGGGAAUCUUCCGCAAUGGGCGAAAGCCUGACGGAGCAACGCCGCGUGAGUGAUGAAGGUCUUCGGAUCUUAAAACUCUGUUAUUAGGGAAGAACAUAUGUGUAAGUAACUGUGCACAUCUUGACGGUACCUAAUCAGAAAGCCACGGCUAACUACGUG